UGGUCCAAUGAUGAUAAUGGGUGGCUUUUGAGUCCUAUGCAGUGAAUCCUACAUGUCUAGAACUCUGAGGUUUAC
ensembl:snoRNA